rnacentral:rRNA from 1 species
UUCCAGACUCCUACGGGAGGCAGCAGUGGGGAAUAUUGCACAAUGGGGGAAACCCUGAUGCAGCGACGCCGCGUGAGUGAAGAAGUAUUUCGGUAUGUAAAGCUCUCUCAGCAGGGAAGAAAAUGACGGUACCUGACUAAGAAGCCCCGGCUAACUACGUGCCAGCAGCCGCGGUAAUACGUAGGGGGCAAGCGUUAUCCGGAUUUACUGGGUGUAAAGGGAGCGUAGACGGCAUGGCAAGUCAGAUGUGAAAGCCCGGGGCUCAACCCCGGGACUGCAUUUGAAACUGUCAGGCUGGAGUGCAGGAGAGGUAAGUGGAAUUCCUAGUGUAGCGGUGAAAUGCGUAGAUAUUAGGAGGAACACCGGUGGCGAAGGCGGCCUGCUGGACUGCAACUGACGUUGAGGCCCGAAAGCGUGGGGAGCAAACAGGAUUAGAUACCCGUGUACC